GACGAACGCUGGCGGCGUGCUUAACACAUGCAAGUCGAACGGAAAGGCCCUGCUUUUGUGGGGUGCUCGAGUGGCGAACGGGUGAGUAACACGUGAGUAACCUGCCCUUGACUUUGGGAUAACUUCAGGAAACUGGGGCUAAUACCGGAUAGGAGCUCCUGCUGCAUGGUGGGGGUUGGAAAGUUUCGGCGGUUGGGGAUGGACUCGCGGCUUAUCAGCUUGUUGGUGGGGUAGUGGCUUACCAAGGCUUUGACGGGUAGCCGGCCUGAGAGGGUGACCGGCCACAUUGGGACUGAGAUACGGCCCAGACUCCUACGGGAGGCAGCAGUAGGGAAUAUUGCACAAUGGGCGGAAGCCUGAUGCAGCAACGCCGCGUGCGGGACGACGGCCUUCGGGUUGUAAACCGCUUUCGCCUGUGACGAAGCGUGAGUGACGGUAAUGGGUAAAGAAGCACCGGCUAACUACGUG
rnacentral:rRNA from 1 species